AACGAACGCUGGCGGCAUGCCUAACACAUGCAAGUCGAACGAGACCUUCGGGUCUAGUGGCGCACGGGUGCGUAACGCGUGGGAACCUGCCCUUAGGUUCGGAAUAACUCCCCGAAAGGGGUGCUAAUACCGGAUAAUGUCUUCGGACCAAAGAUUUAUCGCCUUUGGAUGGGCCCGCGUUGGAUUAGCUAGUUGGUAGGGUAAAAGCCUACCAAGGCGACGAUCCAUAGCUGGUCUGAGAGGAUGAUCAGCCACACUGGGACUGAGACACGGCCCAGACUCCUACGGGAGGCAGCAGUGGGGAAUAUUGGACAAGGGGCGAAAGCCUGAUCCAGCAAUGCCGCGUGAGUGAUGAAGGCCUUAGGGUUGUAAAGCUCUUUUACCCGGGAUGAUAAUGACAGUACCGGGAAAAUAAGCUCCGGCUAACUCCGUG
rnacentral:rRNA from 1 species